GUCUAAACGAAAGUUGUAGAGUACGUUCCCACCUUCGCGUGGAUAUAAAGAACGUCGAAAAGGGAGCUCGUAUGCGAAAUUUAUGAUUUUUAGAAGUCGGAAAGUGAAUUUGCGAAAUCUGUUGCGAGGGUGAUGACGUGGCUCAAUCAGGGUCGUCGCUUGCUGAUCACGCUUCGCUUCGGAUUUACGACACAUCGCUUCGCAAUACGCCCCGCGUCCGAAGAGGUUACGCCCCGCGUAGGUCCGAUCUGAUCCAUCCGAUGGAGUGCAAGACAGCUGGCUCCGAGCUGGUGGUCUUAUCCGAGGAGUACGCCCAGCGUAACGACCGAAGCCUGGCCCUAUAAAUAGAUGUGCGAGGCUGCCAUUGUUCUUCACUCCAAAUCCACUUCUUUCUCUCACUAGUUUCUCUCUCUAGCUCAUCUAAACCCCCAUAAGCCCUAGUUAAACCCCUUAGCUCCCGAGGGAAGCCCCGAGGCUCCCGGAGUCCCGAGAAAAAGAGCCUUUCGGUUUCGAAACGCUGCUCCAAUUAAGUUCCGGUUUUCGAUAAAAUUCGCUGUAAGUGUGCUACGCUUACGUAAUUUUUAAUAUAGCUUUCAAAUAAUUAUAGGAAUGUUAUUAGGUCCUUAAAAUAAUUAUUUGAGCUAUUAUUAUGAGUUAUAUUGAGUGUUAUUAACGCUUAAUAAUAGUCAGACUAAUUAAUUUGUCGUGGUUAUCGUUAGACUAAACCCUAGUGGUAUUGGUACUAGGUUUUAUCGAAGGAAAAUCAUUUUGAGAGUAUCGAAGCGCUGUCCGAGUGUUGAGUCACCACCUUUCAAUUAAGUGCAUAGUCCAUUUCAUCCUACACAUAGAUAUGAAGUAUUUUAUAUAAACUACGUGCUAUGUGUACAUAUUAUCUGAAUACUUGUUGUCUUUGCCGGAUGAACGUUUUAUACAUGUUUUAAAUGAUUUAAACUGUAUACGUAUUUUAUACGAAUAUGUUGGGUAUGACAUGGGUAGAUGAAUGAUGAGAGAUAUAAGAUGAUGAGAGUAUAUGUUGGCAGUUAUAGACUUAGUGCCUAUUGGACAAACACCGGUAACUAUGGACUUAGUAGCUGUUAGACGUUGGUAGCUAUGGAUUUAGUACCUGUUAGGAAUUGGUAGCUAUGAACUUAGUACCUAUUAGUUGGACGCUGGUAGCUAUGGAUUUAGUACCUGUUAGGAAUUGGUAGCUAUGGACUUAGUACCUAUUAGAUGAACGUUGGUAGCUAUGGAUUUAGUACCCGAUAGAUAGACUAUAGCAGCUAUGGAAUUAGUGCUUUACGAACGAACAUUGGCAGCUAUGGAUUUAGUGUCAGUCCUAUAACCCUGGAAGUAAGGGACUUAGGAAUAAACGAAUGCAGGAUAUAUGACUCUUAGGUUAAAUCCUUAAGAGUAAAGAAGAUAAUGGGGAUGGGUAAUUGGGUGGAUAGUUUGAUUGUUUAACAUAAUAAUUAUAUUAUGGUGGGUUGAAAACCCUAUG
rnacentral:lncRNA from 1 species